GUGUCCUGGUUUGCACUUCCCUCUCUCUCUUUUACACACAGUCGUUCCACACACACAGUCGUUCCGCACACGUACGGAAACACCAGACAGUCUGCAGCUAAGUUUACAGCAGGAGGACGGAUUCGGAAAAAUGGAGGGGGGGAGACAGAGAGGUCAAAAACGAGAAGCGACUGCGAGAGGCACGCGGUUGGGAAAACGCUGUGACCUGGGCAAAAGUGAGGACAGAAGAAAAGAGGGGGGAGCAUUUGAAAAUAGGUGAAAGAGGGAGUAGGGGAGAGAGGGCAAAGGGAGGAAUAUGCUGAGAUGGAGGAAUGCAGGGUUGGAACAGCACAGCUCCACAUAUAGAGGGGGCAGAGAAAGACGGAGUAGGAGUCAGACUGGGUGUAUACAUCUGAGCUCUCUCACCGGGGCUGGGACAGACAAACGGACAAGCGUCACUGCCAGACAGCCCCUCUUUCAUAGGAAAUGAGGCCCUUUGACCUUUGCCAUUCAGUCUGUCUGGAAAUGCAGAGCCUGGAAUCGAUCAACACCACCCUGUACCCCCACCCCCACACCCGCCCAGACAUGCACUCUCCACCUCCACUCCUUUGGACUCACUCAUUCCCGCCCUCCUUCCCUCCACCCCCUUCCAUUUUUCUCUUUCUCCGCAGAGAGCAGCAUGCCCCCUUCCCAUUCCUGCUCACCCUUGCCCCCACGCUCCCAUCCCCCACUAUCAGAUAAUAGGCCCCACAGUGCUUAUGCUACAUUUUCGUGCUCGGGCCCCUUUACAUACGACCAUGCGGCGACAGCUUCCAGCCUCAAGGCAGGAUCGGGUGUACAGCACUGGAAAAAACAUUGAGUAAAUACUCGAUAUGCUAUGAAAGAAUAGUGCCAUGGACCCUGUGUUUAGUGCACAAGAGUUAAGCAUCAUCUACUGAAUUUUGCACAACAUCAAUUUUGUGACAAUGUUAGUCCUAGGUGACGUGACAAUAUGGACAUUUAAUUUAAUUGCACAUCUUGAAGAUGAGCUUGAGUGAGUAAUUGUAUUUAAACCUGCGUUUUGUUGGGUUACCCAUGCUUGUUUGAGUUUCUAUAUUUAAAAAAAAAACAGCCACAGGCGAGUCACAGUGAACAUUCAACGCUGUCGGUGAGUUUUGAAGUGAGAGAAACCAUCGAGUGUUGAGUGUACCCUGCCUCUCGAGCUCACGCCUACCACCCCAGCUUCACGUGCUGUAGCAAUUACAUGUGCAAAAUCCCUUAGCCGCUGAGCUGGCCAAGAUGGCCGCUGGAAUGCCUCCAAUGGCAUCACCACUGCCAGUGGAGCCAAAGACACUUCAUCCAUUCCCAUAGCUCAGAGUCCCGAUUCACAUUCAUUGCUGUCGGUGGGUUUUAUCAGGCUGACUCGCCGAACAAUGAAUGAGAAAUGUGGUCUUCUGUUAUGGCUCAUCGCCUGCUGUAAUAGCCCAUGUGCUUGGGAAUUACAAUUCAUUUGUAUUCUUUCAUUAUUUGAAAUGUGUUUCAAUCUAUAUGCAUCAAAGUAGGUCAAUAAAUGAGAAAUCUAAAUUAGAACUUUGAA